ensembl:lncRNA
AUGUAAUCAGUUAUAUUCAGUCUUUCUUAAAGACUUCUAAGAGUGCUCUUUGAGUGCUCUUAAAAAAAGGGAUCUGAACAUUUGAGAGAGCCAAUGGAUUUCCAUCUCAACUUAUGUAAGCUUCGUAUGGCAGUAGUCAUCUAUCAGGACAAGAAGUUUUGUUAAUUAUGCUGUUGCUCUUUGAGUGGUUGCAGAUCAUUGCCAAGUGAGGUAAAGCAUUUUGUUUGUCCUCCUGAAACCUAAGGAUUGGCUUCAGUGGUCUCAGUGGAGGAGCAAGAAUCUGGAAAUGGAAAUGUGAUCUACAUUUACCAGGGUAUUGGAGCACUGAAGCUAUUGUCCAAGCCAGGAACAAGUCCUCUGCAACUUUGUGUAGGCAGCAAUAACACAGACAUGUUGUGUGUGUUGCCUGUCCAAAUUCAUUUGGAUCGUACUCUGUCACUUUUUUUGAGAAUGUUCAAAAAUUUUAAUACCUUCCACAUUGGAUUUAUUGAUUUGAAAUUUACUCUGCAAGUCUGGAAUUCAGCACUGGAAUUAGUGAACUGUAUUAUCCAGCUUUUCGAAGAAGGUACAGGGAGGAAGAUACAGUGUAUGGCUGUACCUGUGAACAGCCUGUUAACUGAUGUGUCACUAAGAGCCAUUACUGAGAUGAGAAAGGAG